GGGGUCCGAGAGAAAACCUGUAUUGAAGACUUUAGCAAAGGGUCGGUGGUAGAGCGACAUUAUACUACGGACGAACUCGGGGGGGAUAUUCAUGGCCGCUAGGGUACCCUCCAUGUAUCCCCAGUGCAGGCGGUCAAAUGCCUUUUCUGCAUCUAAGGCGAGGAGCAGCCCCUUUUGGGAGGACUGGUUGGCCCAGUCUAUAAUGUUUAGAAAUUGUCUGGUGUUAUCCCCCACCUGUCUUCCAGGUACAAAUCCCGCUUGCUCCGCGGAGAUUAGUGUAGACAACAGGGGCCGAAGCCUCGCCGCUACUAGUUUUGCGUACAGUUUUACGUCCGCAUUGAGGAGGGAGAUCGGCCGUAAAUUGGCGCACAUCGUGGGUGUUUUGUUGGGUUUGGGUAGGGUAACUAUGUAUGCUCCCAACAUGUCCCGUGGUAUGCCGCCUGAGGUUUUUAUUGAGUUAAAUAGCGUUGUUAGGUAGGGAGUGAGUUGUGGCGCUAGCUUUAUGUAGUAGUAAUUGGACAGGCCGUCUGGUCCGGGUGCUUUAUGCUUAGGAAGUGUGCGUAUCGCUAAUUCUACUUCUUCCUCAGUGAAAGGUUGUUUGAGUGAUUCCGCUUGGGCUGGUGACAGGCGGGGAAGGUUUGCUUGCUCUAUGAAAUGCUCAAUUUCCACCCUGGUGGGUUGAUGUGUUCCCGGGUCCCUACCCAGUUGGUACAGGUUUUCAUAGUAGUGCGCGAGUUCAUUUACUAUGUCUUGGGGGUGGUAAAGUUUCGCCCCUAGUGAGGAGGUGAGGUAUGGUAUUUUGGAUUGUAUAUAUUUCUGUUUUAGUUUGUUAGCUAAGCGUUUGCCCGCUUUGUUUCCUGUCAUGUAGUAAGUUUGCUUAAGGAAGCGCAUGUGUCUCUCAGUUGUUUUUAGCUGUUCUGCUUCUAAUUUUGCCCUUAGGGACAUUAGUUGUUUAUGAGUACGUUUAGUUGGGUUGGCUUUGUGUUGGGUUUCAAGCGUGGAAAUUUCCCGCUCCAUGCCCAGCUGUGCUUUUUGACGAAGUUUUUUUGUUAGGGAACCAAUUUGCACAAGGUGUCCGCGCAUGACCGCUUUAUGCGCUUCCCAUCGGGUCGUCAGUGGUGUCGUGCAUUGUUCAUGA